AAGUCGUAACAAGGUUUCCGUAGGUGAACCUGCGGAAGGAUCAUUAACACUGCUCUUGUAACCCGCGUAGUUCGCGAUCUGUGAUAAAUCAUAGCCCGGAAAGUUGUAGUGAUUCAGAGACCUCUGGCUACGUGCGAACAUUGGAACAGUUACAAUCGAGCGGUAGUUCCUUCGGCAAUGUUUCCCCAAGCAGUCAGUGUCGGAAAGUGUCAUUGAUUGUGCAAGGAUAGCGCUUCUACGAUUCCUGUAGACCGUACGCUCGGGCAGGAGCUUUGCCAAAGGGUCCCCAUGCCCCCUAAUAACCCCACAGUUUAAUGUGAAGCUCAAUGUAAUACAUUGGGUAAAAAAACCGAACAACUGUUAACAAUGGAUAUCUUGGUUCUC
rnacentral:misc_RNA from 1 species